UCCCUCUAUUUUGGCGACUCAACACUUAAGUCCCUCACUUUCUCUUCCGUCCAAAUUCGUAGUCCUUCCGUCCAUUUAAACCGUUUGAUCAAAGAGUCAAAAGUGAGAUGUGAUGAUUUUUUCCAAAAAUACCCUUCUUUCAAUGUGAAAUUCCAGAAGAAGAAGAAGAAGAAGAAGAAGAAGAAGAAGAAGAAGAAGAAGAAGAAGAAGAAAGAAGAAGAAGAAGAAGAAAAAGUUGCUGGGUAGGAAGAAGAAGAAGAAGAAGAAGAAGAAGAAGAAGAAGAAGAAGAAGAAGAAGAGGAGGGUUAAUUUUGUCAAUUCACGUGUCCCAAACG
rnacentral:lncRNA from 1 species